CGAUCGUCCAAUGAUAUUAAUAUGUCAGUGAUUAUUCCAGGCAUGGAUGGAAGAGCCCAGCCGGACACUUUCCAUGAUGGCACAUCGAUGACUUUAUCCGCCUUCCAUGUUCCGUCUUCCACUUGAUGAAAACUAUUGGUACCGAAAGACAUUGGCUGUCAAUGCACAACCAACGAAUCCAGUUUUGGCCGUCGGUUCAUGGAGGAAACGGAUUUCAAGUGGCAUCAGACCUUCACUACCCAAAUCCAAGGAACCAGAUGUCGUUGAGCCAACUACGUGAAAAUAUAUAAUCCCACCAAGUCCUUGACAUACCUGUAGCCACGUGAUCCAUGGAGAAUCCAGUACAAAAAGCUGAAGGAGAACCCCACUCCGAAGAAAUCUAGAAUAAUGAUUCAGAAGAAUGGUAGAAACAUCUAGAUAUAGAACCAAAACCGCGUUUACACCAACCAUAACGUUAUGCCGGGGCUGAUACCAGAAGUCAUAACCGAAAUUCGUGGACGUCUCACUCCACAAGCCUUCAAUAACAUCAAGUUUAGGUACAGUUCACAUUUAAGAAUAAACAAGAAUCUUUCAAUUAACCUUUAACUCUCCAUUCCUUUGCAUCGAUCAACAGAAAAGAGCCUUUGGCUUCCCGACGUGCAUUUCCCAUUGUAGACACCAUCACAUUUCCGUCAGCAAGGCAGUGAAGAGUAUGUGGCGCGCUAAGAUCGAGAUCAUGCAGUUCAUUUGGCUCGAUAAUCUACAAAAAAAUCAGUCAUGUUCAGUCAAGCUAGAUCAUUAAAUACCAGAAGAAAAAUCUUGGUUAUAAUUUUACCUUGUGAAUUUCAGGAGCUCUUGGGUUUUUGGAAACAUUGAUUGCAUAAAUCCGGUCGCUAAUCAGGCCGGCAAAGACGAUAUAAUCACGUGAUUGUGAGGAAUCGUUGUAGCAACUGCUACAGGAAUUCCAACCACUGUGAUGUAAUUCGUCAUUCUCGUAAGGCAUAAAAACAUUCAUUCACUUGGCUGUAAGUUGGACUGCUAGGAUCGACGUCAAUCGUGGCUACGUAAUCAUGCUUGCCCUUUUUCCCCUGAAUGCACGGUAUGUAAAGAAUUUUCUCCGGAGAACCUUUCAUUGCUUCCAAUGGCGUUGCGUAACCGGGACCGCAUCCGCAGCCUUUCUUUGCUUCGUCUAAACAUUACCAAAUUCCACGUUUAGUUUGAUAUAACAAAUAAUUUGGUAUUUUGCCAAAAUGUGCCACAGUAGCAAUCAACUAUCAGGGUAGGGAGCUUACUUUACGGGCCAUGGGAGACACAGACCUGAGAAAUCAAUUCUGCUACUAAAAAAAAAACGAACAGGAGAUAACACGACUAUGUCAAACAGCCCACUGGUAGGGCAAAACCGUUCUUCUAGAAAUCGAAAAACAUUUACCUUCCAUGAUGCUUUCUUAAGUAAAACAAACAAGUGUUUUGUAAGGGUAGGAAUAUAAUUAGUAAAAUCCGAGGAUCGCCUUCAUCCGUCGUACUUGAUAAAAAUUUGUCAAUUGAUACUAAAGUAAAAUCUGCUGUCUAAUGCAACAGCGCUACAAGCGGCCAACCAAUACAGUAUUUGCUUUUUCUCAACCAUUUAGCAGCGGAAUGAAAAUAAUAAAACUUUCUCCAUUCCGCGUGUUAUACACUGACUUUCUAUUAAUUCCUUAAAAUUUUCGAAUUUCGUGUGUCUUUUCUUUGUGUUUAUAGCACAUUAUUACGACUACCGUUAGAAAGCGAAAUAAUAAAUGAUAAAAGAAA